CUGUCCGUAGCUCAGUUGGAUAGAGCACCGGCCUUCUAAGCCGGUUGUCGCUGGUUCGAUCCCAGCCGGGCAGGCCA
rnacentral:tRNA from 1 species